UCCCUGGUGGUCUAGUGGUUAGGAUUCAGUGCUUUCACUGCUGUGGCCUCGGUUCAAUCCCUGGUCUGGGAA
rnacentral:tRNA from 1 species